UCAUCUCAUCUGAAGCGGCAUAACUCUAAAUGGAUUUCCAAUAUGACUCGUAAAACUGUGUUUCGACCGUUGUUGUGAUGACCUUGGAUUACAAAUUUGGCUUAGUACGACACUUUUCCGACUACAAUGGGGUGGAAAAACCAACGUCUCCAUGCACGCUGCCAUUUGAAGACAAUCCAAUGAAUAUCCUGGAUCUCCCUCUAGUCACGCCAUGGCCGCUCAUUACGAUUGGUUCCAGCGAUGCCUCUGGCCCCAAAUUGAGGUUUUCAAGCCUAUAGUUUCCUAAUAUUUUUCUCAAACACCAUGUUUGUACGACCAACCCAAGAGGGUGGACGGAAGUCUGAAUGAUGGAACCUACUCAAGUACCUAGUAGGGCAUUCUUACCCCGGAUAUCAUUUCGAAGUACCGGUAGAAUCUUUUCGGGUGGAUCCAUCGGAUAUUUUCGAGCAAAGAACGACUGGCUUCGACGAUGAGGAACAUAAAAAAGACCCAUUUUCUGCUAUUAACGAAUAAAGGGAUUGAUUAGGUUUAGGUCCUGUCGUUCUCUCGCUCAACAUUUCAUCUAUGGCAUUUGGGAGACUUUUCCAAAGUCGUGAGUGCAAUAUCCUAAUAUCUCCACCAAAGUACGAAGAACCGAGUACUCAUCAACUCGACUUCGAGACCCUCCCGAGGCGCCUCAUUAAUUGGACAUGCCUUCUUCGCUCUUUCCUCCAAAGCCCGAUGCUCAAUUCCGGCUUCGAAUCCGUGCCUAUCAAUGGCUGAAAUAUGCACAUGAGAAAAUUGGGACAUGCAUCAGCUGUCUUGCAACCAUCUGCGACGGGUAAGAGCAUGACAACCAGAGUGCUGGUAGUAAAUGAACUGACCCUCGUGGAAAAAACAAGUGUAACUUUUUCUCUUAUUUUCAUC